rnacentral:tRNA from 2 species
UUUUAUAAAAAAAAUAAAAAAUUUUUUUUUAAAAAUAAGCUAAAUAAAGCUUUGGGG